ensembl:lncRNA
CUUGUGUGUCUUUGUGUAUCCACAUUGUUCUUAGCUAGCCUGCGUGUGUCUUAUGCUGCUGUUUUUUUAAACCUCUUUUCUACACAUUGAUUUCAGGUCAUGACGUUUUCUGUAGUUUUGUUCCCAGAGGAGGAUGAAUGUGUGGCAGUAGUUCCACACCUGUGGCUCAAAGGGGGACUGUUACUGGCCACCACACAGAAGUCCUUCAGCCACGACAAGUUUGCCAGAACUUGUUCACCACCUGAAGACACCUGGGAGGCUGUCCCUAAUAAGCUCAUCAAGAACGCAGCUCUCUACAGGUCAUUGACCAGGUCCUGCCGUGUAGUUCUGGGCUGAUCCCUCACCUUCCUCAUGAUCAUUGAUGCCCCACGAGGUGAGAUCUUGCAUGGAGUCCCAGACCGAGGGAGAUUGACCGUCAUCUUGAACUUCUUCCAUUUUCUAAUAAUUGCGCCAACAGUUGUUGCCUUCUCACCAAGCUGCUUGCCUAUUGUCCUGUAGCCCAUCCCAGCCUUGUGCAGGUCUACAAUUUUAUCCCUGAUGUCCUUACAAAAAGACCAUAAGACAGUUGCAGCUCGUACAGAACGCCGCGGCCAGGAUUCUCAG